rnacentral:rRNA from 1 species
CAGUAGCCGCGGUAACACAGAGGGUGCAAGCGUUAAUCGGAAUUACUGGGCGUAAAGCGCGCGUAGGUGGUUUGUUAAGUUGGAUGUGAAAUCCCCGGGCUCAACCUGGGAACUGCAUCCAAAACUGGCAAGCUAGAGUAUGGUAGAGGGUGGUGGAAUUUCCUGUGUAGCGGUGAAAUGCGUAGAUAUAGGAAGGAACACCAGUGGCGAAGGCGACCACCUGGACUGAUACUGACACUGAGGUGCGAAAGCGUGGGGAGCAAACAGGAUUAGAUACCCCUGUAGUCCCUGUCUCUUAUAC